rnacentral:rRNA from 1 species
GAUGAACGCUGGCGGCGUGCCUAAUACAUGCAAGUCAAGCGAACAGACGAGGAGCUUGCUCCUCUGACGUUAGCGGCGGACGGGUGAGUAACACGUGGAUAACCUACCUAUAAGACUGGGAUAACUUCGGGAAACCGGAGCUAAUACCGGAUAAUAUAUUGAACCGCAUGGUUCAAUAGUGAAAGACGGUUUUGCUGUCACUUAUAGAUGGAUCCGCGCCGCAUUAGCUAGUUGGUAAGGUAACGGCUUACCAAGGCAACGAUGCGUAGCCGACCUGAGAGGGUGAUCGGCCACACUGGAACUGAGACACGGUCCAGACUCCUACGGGAGGCAGCAGUAGGGAAUCUUCCGCAAUGGGCGAAAGCCUGACGGAGCAACGCCGCGUGAGUGAUGAAGGUCUUCGGAUCGUAAAACUCUGUUAUUAGGGAAGAACAAAUGUGUAAGUAACUAUGCACGUCUUGACGGUACCUAAUCAGAAAGCCACGGCUAACUACGUG